UGCCUGCCUUCCACCGUUAUCUUCUCUCUCCCUUCUCCGGCUGUCUCUGCAUCUCUCCUCGUCCUCUGUCUUCCCUAAACUCGUGAAGAAUGAUUAGCAUACGGGAGGCGAGAGGAACUUUCCAGCGCGAGUGAACAGGAGAACAAGUGCGCAAAAGGAAGGACGCUGGAAAAUACCAUCAGCAGCGAUUGGAAAGUUUGAGCGAAGACCACAUUUCCAGACUGAAAAUGAAAUUGGAGGAGGUGUAGUGACCUCUUAUCAGUCGUCUAACAUAGAGGGCCGUGGGGCAAACAGAGGUCUGAACCAAAGAGUGAUUACACCGGCAAUUACAUCAGAUGGAGGUGGAUGUAGCAGAGGAGAAGCGCCAUUGCACACGCUCAAAAGUUCCCCUGGAACCAGCCAUACAAGAGUUGUUCAGUGUGUAUGGCUGUCCUGUCGCCAAGAAGAGAAAACCCCUGGACACUCAUGCCCUGGAGCCCUCGCCCAAGAGGAAGGUCUUUCUUACAGUCGUAGAGCAGCCGUCAAUGGAGAAAUGCUACAAAACGCACAAAAUGGAGGAGAUGGAUGAAAAAGAGGAGGAAGAGGAGGAGGAGCAGGAGGAGGAGGAGGAAGAUGAAGAGGAACCGGAGGAGGAGUAUACUGACAAUGAGGACCAAUAUGAUCAGGACGAGGUAGAAGUGAUUAAUGGAGAAGAGGAAGAGGUGGAGCAGGAAGAAGAGGAAGUGGUGGAGGAGGAGGAGGAAGAGGAAGAAGAAGUAGAAAGAGAGGGGGAGGAUGAUGAAGAUGACGUGGAGGAAGAUGAGCAAGAGGAUGAGGAGCAAAUUCAAGAAAUAGGUGAGAGUCUGAAUAA
ensembl:lncRNA